AUUGAACGCUGGCGGCAGGCCUAACACAUGCAAGUCGAACGAGUGGCGGACGGGUGAGUAAUGUCUGGGAAACUGCCUGAAGGAGGGGGAUAACUACUGGAAACGGUAGCUAAUACCGCAUACCAUCAGAUGUGCCCAGAUGGGAUUAGCUUGCUGGUGGGGUAACGGCUCACCAAGGCGACGAUCCCUAGCUGGUCUGAGAGGAUGACCAGCCACACUGGAACUGAGACACGGUCCGAACUCCUACGAGAGGCAGCAGUGGGAAAUAUUGCAAAAUGGGCGCAAGCCUGAUUCAGCCAUGCCGCGUGUAUGAAGGAUGCCUUCGGGUUGUGAAGUACUUUCAGCGGGGGGGCGUUACCCGCAGGAGAAGCACCGGCUAACUCCGUGCCAGCAGCCGCGGUAAUUC
rnacentral:rRNA from 1 species